GGUGUAGGUGGCUUUGUAAGUCAGGUGUGAAAGCCUGGGGCUCAACCCCAGAAGUGCAUUUGAUACUGCGAAGCUUGAGUGCUGGAGAGGCUACUAGAAUUCCAGGUGUAGUGGUGAAAUACGUAGAUAUCUGGAGGAAUACCGGUGGCGAAGGCGGGUAGCUGGCCAGACACUGACACUCAGACCCGAAAGCGUGGGGAUCAAACA
rnacentral:rRNA from 1 species